AGUUUUCGGCAAUCGUGAAAGAGCGACGGAGCAAACCGCGUGAGCAGAAAGAAUCCGGGAUUAAACAAUUUUUAAAGGAAGAAAACAAUAAGUAACUGAAGAAUAAGCAUCGGCUAACUCCGCGCCAGCAGCCGCGGUAAUACGGAGGAUGCAAGCGUUCUUCGGAAUGACGGGGGUAAAGCGUCCGCAGGCGGAUAUGCAAGUCUGAAUUAAACACCGAGAACAACUCCAUUGCGCAGAGAUAUGCGUGCUUAGAGAGGUGGGGGUUGAGGGAAUUUCUGAUUGUGGAGUGAAAUGUGUUGAAUAGGGGCGAACCCCCUUUGAGAAGGCGCUCUAAUAGACGUAACGACAAUUGAGGAGGAAAGGUAAGAGAGAGAAGAGAAUAGAUACCCCAUUAGUCUUCGAUU
rnacentral:rRNA from 1 species